GCCACCGUAGCUCAGAUGGCAGAGCACCUCACUCGUAAUGAGGAUGUCAGGAGUUCGAAUCUCCUCGGUGGCUCCA
rnacentral:tRNA from 2 species